AAGAUCACUUAGUGUGACGAGAGAGACUGAAGCUAUGAUAGACAGUGCUGCAGAUGUCCAGCCAUCUUUGCGUGAAAAAAGUGUGUCAAAAGAGAUUGAAAAUCUGACACAAAGUGCUGCAGAUGACAACCCAUCAUCACGUGAAAAAAGUGUGCCGAAAGAGAUUGAAAAUCUGACACAAAGUAAGUUG